rnacentral:rRNA from 1 species
AGGACCACCAGUUGCGAAGGCGUCACACUGGAACGGAUUNGACGGUCAGGGACGAAGCNUAGGGGCACGAACCGGAUUAGAUACCCGGGUAGUCCUAGGUGUAAACGNUGUGAACUUGGUGUCGGGGAUCCGCAAGGGGUUCCCGGUGCNGGAGUGAAGAUGUUAAGUUCACUGCCUGGGGAGUACGGUCGCAAGGNUGAAACUUAAAGGAAUUGGCGGGGGAGCACUGCAACGGGAGGAGCGUGCGGUUUAAUUGGAUUCAACGCCGGAAAUCACUAGUGAAUUC